CGUUAAGGUUCGUAGGUGACCUGCGGAGGAUCAUUAUCUAUUUUAACGGUGUUGGUUGCGGCCUCCGGGGGUAACCCCCCCGGGCGGUAGAGGUAACACUCGCGCGCGCCACAUGCCUUAAUCCUUUUUUUACGAGCACCUUUCGUUCUCCUUCGGUGGGGCAACCUGCCGCUGGAACUUAUCAAAAACCUUUUUUUGCAUCUAGCAUUACCUGUUCUGAUACAAACAAUCGUUACAACUUUCAACAAUGGAUCUCUUGGCUCUGGCAUCGAUGAAGAACGCAGCGAAAUGCGAUAAGUAGUGUGAAUUGCAGAAUUCAGUGAAUCAUCGAAUCUUUGAACGCACAUUGCGCCCCUUGGUAUUCCAUGGGGCAUGCCUGUUCGAGCGUCAUCUACACCCUCAAGCUCUGCUUGGUGUUGGGCGUCUGUCCCGCCUCUGCGCGCGGACUCGCCCCAAAUUCAUUGGCAGCGGUCCUUGCCCCUCUCGCGCAGCACAUUGCGCUUCUCGAGGUGCGCGGGCCGCGUCCACGAAGCAACAUUACCGUCUUUGACCUCGGAUCAGGUAGGGAUACCCGCUGAACUUAAGCAAUAAAGAGGG
rnacentral:rRNA from 1 species